GUGCCAUCUGCUCAGUCUCCUGGAGUUCAUGCAGAUGCAGAUCAGGUUCAGAACUUGGCAGUAAGGAAUCAACAGGCCUCAGCUCAAGGACCUCAGAUGCAAGGCUCCACUCAGAAGGCCAUUCCUCCAGGAGCCUCCCCUGUCUCUAGCCUCUCCCAGGCCUCUAGCCAGGCCCUAGCGGUGGCACAGGCUUCCUCUGGGGCCACAAACCAGUCCCUCAACCUUAGUCAAGCUGGUGGAGGCAGUGGGAAUAGCAUCCCAGGGUCCAUGGGUCCAGGUGGAGAGGUAGGGUUUUUCUAGCUUGUGUGACAGAAGUAGCAAAAUCUGGUCCUCCCCCCUCCCAGUGUAGCUGUGGCUCAGAGUUUUUUCUUUUUGUUGUCACUUACUCCCUUGUGAUUGAAUUUUUUCUCCUGCAUCCAUGGCAGGAUCCCCAGCCAGUAUAGAGACUUGGUUGGCAUCUUCUGCUGCAGGGACUAAAAGUAU
rnacentral:lncRNA from 1 species